CAUUUUACAUUUGGUGGCCUAGAAACCUAAAUUUUGGGUUUUCUAGGACACCA
ensembl:ncRNA C24E9.1 ncRNA